UCACCGAUGUCAAUCUCCACAAGAGCAGCAUGAGAGCAAUAGCGCUGCGCUCCUAGGCGUGCGUUGAAGCAUCGCCCUCCGCCGGGGGAUUGGAUAAUUUGCCCCACUUUACAAGGGGUUGGAUGAUUUGCCCUGUGAUUGUCUCAAUGACAGUGGCCCCAAUGACAGUGAUUGUCUCAGGGGACAAAUGAUCAAAUGGAGAAGUAAAGUGGGGCAAAAGAUCCAAUUUCUCCCCUCCGCCAUAUCCAGCCGCCAAACAUCUUUCCAUGGCAGCGGCGGCGAAUAUCAAGAUCUUGACGUGGAGGCGACGUUGACCGGGUCUCCGGCAAAUCGCCCCUUGCGCCUCCGGUCAGCGGCUCCGACGGCAAACGUCCACGGCCGUACACGGCGCGCGGCGCAUGGCCUGGCUGCCCUCGGCCUUUCACUGCGUCAGACGUGGCGCAUCCCGCGGCAUGGCUGCCAAUGGCAGCGGCGGCUCACGGCUCCGACGGCAAACGUCCACGGCCGUACACGGCGCGCGGCGCAUGGCCUGGCUGCCCUCGGCCUUUCACUGCGUCAGACGUGGCACAUCCCGCGGCAUGGCUGCCAAUGGCAGCGGCGGCUCACGGCUCCGGCGACGACACCUCCGCAACUCUCUCCUUUCUCUAUCUCGAAUCUGCGGAUGGCUUCAACUCUUCGCUACCUAGACGGCCAUGACUCCGCCUGACCUGGGUGACCUCCCCGAUCGCUGGAUUCGACGGCAAGGAGCUGGAAUCACCCAUGCCACCGUUGGAUUCGACGACGAUGAGGAACUGCGCUGACCGCAACCGAGCUCGGCUGAAAAGGUGAAAAAAAGAUUUUUUUUCUGCUGUGUCAUUGGAAGAUUUGGUCCUUAGUUUGUCGGGUGUUGUAGAAUCAUGAGCAUCUAGAAUUUGAGAAGGUGAGAGAUCCCGUAGUUUAUUUUUCUGAAAACAUUUUGUUAAAAAUUUAUGCCAUGUGAUUUUGGACACCGUCCCCAUUGUUGCAGUAUAAUUAGAAACAAGCAACUAACUGUGCUUGCUUAAUUAUUGGUUCAUCACGGUGAUAACCUACACAACAGGUAAUUCGAUUAGCAUGAUUUUGAUGUCUUAUCCAUUGAUUGUUGUUUUAGAGGAUGUUGACAGGAAAACAACAACGAUGGUAAAAUAAUGUUUAGGAUAACAUAGCGGAAGGACCAAGAAUCCAGUACAAUACACAAGUAAUUUUUUUUUUUGUAGAAAUCCAUCAUGGGCGAUUCAUGGCACAUAUGAACAUCCAUGUACUUCAAAGAUCAGCUUAUCAUGCAUAUCCUGAAGAUGCAUCUAUAUUCCCCUCCCAGUUUUCCACUGUAGAUGGUUAAACAUUGAAAAGUUAAUAUUGUGAGAUAAUAAUUAAAGGAUUCUCUGUCCAUGAAAUUCUAAGCCUGAUUAAUUAGCUCCGAGAUAGGUAUGCUAUUCUAAACUUGGAAUCCCUAUUACUGGAUUAUUCCUGUUAUGGAAAUUAAACUAUACACUUCUGUUAAGCAGGUUUCCUUUUCUCUUGCAUUUCGUAAAAUACUUCUUAAUUUGACUUGAUAUAUAUGUUCCUUCAGGAGAGGGGAGGUUUUGAUCUUAUGUCUUGAGAAUGUUAGCUGCACCUGCACGGCCAUAGAGUAUUGUAACUCAGUUCAAUGUCUUCUGACAAUGAUCCUUGCAAAUUAUUCGCAAUCUACAGUGAAGAUGGUAGGAUUGAAAAUGGGUAUCAUUGAUAUACUAAGAUGAUAUUGCUUUUACGCCGAUGGUGUCUAAGUCACCACAUGCAAAGAUUUUAGGUAGUUGUGUGUUGAGUGUCACUGCGUUCUUCUACAUUGUUACUUCAUGUAGUAACCUGAAAGUGCACAUAAUUUAUCGCUUCAUGUUGUAUUUGUUUUACAACUUGCAUAUUAUGUUUGUCCGUCUCAAGUCAUGUUUCCAUGCUAAUUCCACAAAAGAGUUGUACUUUCUCUUCUGGUACUCAUGUUAUCAUUUUUUCGGCUUAUUUGAGUCCAACAGAAACAAGCUGAUUGCCAAGUUCGUUAUCUAUUAAUAUGUUGUACCAUUGAGCCAAACCCAGAUAGGCAAUACAUGAUUUAGGGCCAAAAUUGGGUAGGAAGAAACUCCUAUUUGAUCAUUAUAGACGCAAAUAUUAUUCAGACUACAUAAACAACUGAAUUUGUUGAUCAUUCAGGAGCUAUACUUUAGUUUUGAGUGCACAAGAUAACAAACUACUCAACAUUUUCAAAAUGAUCUCAUUCAAAUUUGAUGGACUCUAUAAAAAAUAUUAACUAAACAUCCCGCAACAACGUGCAGGGUUUCAUCUAGUUAACCUAGUUGACAUGACACUAGUUGCCAUGAACAUGUGCCCUGCUAGCCGAGAGGAACCCACAAAGGAUCUUAUCCACUUGCUUCCGUACCCUCCAGUAAAUACCGAGAACCAAGAUUUUUUUUUUUAGGGGUUAAACCAAGCUUUACUACUCAAAAACCACAUGUUGUGGAAUACAAAAAGGACCAUGGGGAACGCCAAGCCAAACUUGAUCCGGACCGUUCUGACCAGGGUUAGCAUGCGGCCUUGGAUAUCAAGAGGCCUUCCAAGUCGGGACCAAUCGACAAUCUGGUCAAUCUCUACUCCUAAUGGAGCAGUUGGUAGUCUCCGUUUUCGUCCGGUUUUUUUUCGUCCUCACUCCCACCUCUGACUUAUCCACCAGAAACCGAAAAACCCUCCUCCUGAGGCCCCAACCCGCACCCAUCCACGUACCAAAAAAUAGACCUACGAAGGUUAACCAACGAAAAAAGACCUACCAAGGUUAACCAGCGACAAAAAAACCUAAACCUAUCGCCCGCUCCCUCGCGCCCCUGUUGCUCCCUCCCCGAUCCCGAUCUGGAUCGAGGGGACGAGGAGCUCCUGCCUCCCCGACGGCCGGCCUCCUCCUCGCCCCGCCGCUGCGUCCGGCGCCGCCACGGCCUCUGGAGCCAGGGAAGCCAUGGCCUGAGCUCGGCCUCGAGGUCCCCGUCGCCGUCUCCUGCAGCUUCUGCCCCGCCGCCGUCUCCUUCGCCCUCGCAGCCGCCGCCGAUCCCCUCCCUCAAAUGUCGCUGCUGCCCGUCGGCGCCGCCCCCGCCACCUCCCGUCGCGGGCAGGCGGGAGGAGCCCUGCCCGGCCUCCUCCUCCCCCUCACCUUCUCUCCCUCUCCGGCGGCAAGGGGAGGCAGCGCCCAGAUCCGCAGCCGCACCGGCGGGCCGCCGUCCCUCGAGAUCGUCCAUGGAGGUCCGACCCGGCUACAGCCAUGGACUGAGACGCCCGAAUCCCUAGCUACCCGUGGAGGUCCGACGCCUCAACCUCCAAGGAAAGGACGGCGCCGGCUGCAGGCCAUCUCCGGCGACCUCCGACCAUGGUUGCUCGGAUCUGGACCAGCUGCUGCUCCUACUGCUUCAGGUGGACGAGGACGAGCCCUCCCUCAUUGCUGCUGCGGCUGCCUACUCCCUCCUCCUACCCCCUGGCCUGGUGUGAGUGGUGGAGUUAAUGAGCCGGGAUGAAGUUCGAGAAGUUGCAUUACACCGUGUAAAUAUUAAUGAGCUGUGGAAGACAAGUGCACCGAUAUAGUUGUUAGAGAAAUAAGAAGAUGAUGUAGAGUGAUUUAUGGGUAAGUAAUAUAGCGAAUAGAUUUGCACGGGAAGUCAAGUAUAUGCCGAGACUCGAGCAGGUUCAUUGUUAUUGUUGUUCUUGCGUGUCAAAGCUUUUGGCUAGAUCUGUAGGUAUACAUAUGAGUCGAUGCUUAAUUUUUGUCACGUUUCUUACUUACCACUAUUAUUUCUAGCAGACCUAACCUGAUAUAGUAGUUAAUUUUGGCACUAGACACAACAACUUUGACAUUGAUAAUUUCCUCAUAUUUUUAGUAGGACAAUAAACUUGUCUAGCAUUUCAUAGUUGCAGGCUCUGAAAACAAAUGUAUCUGCCCCCUAAAUGAUUAAACGUGUGGUUUCUGAAUUAUGCAUGCUGACAUGCAUUGGUAAUCAUUAUUCAACGGUAUUCCUUUUCACUGAAAUAAGAACCAUGUAAUGCUUAUGAUUUAAUCUGGUUAUCUAGACAACUAAAUGGGUUAAUGUUAUGCUUAGUAUCUUUUGGCAAAUGUAAUGCAGGGAAGUAAACCACUGUCUUUUGAUAGGGAUUUCUGGAGGUAACAUGCCUCUGAUUGUAUGCACUGAACUUCAGAUGGUGAACACGGCAGCAAAUUCAUUCUUCGAAGAAGUGAAGCGAUGUAAAAAAUGUGCAUCGGCGGCCGCCGAGUGAUCACCCGUCAUUUUUCGUAGUCCUCUUAGUUAUGUACUAGCACAGAUGUUGCGUACGAAAGUAGGAGCAAUCAAGUUGUUGUUUCUCUGACAUGGAGGCAAGUUGGCCUUGUUGUGCUAUGCUCAUCUCAAAUUUUAUGCCACGUCUACUUAUUUUAGCUAAACGUAGGUUUUGGCAGCAAGAAACACUUGCAAAUGUAUGUCUUCUUGAUAUAAGUAUCUGUUCUAGAAGAUAAAUAUAGAUAGCCGUCACAAUAACCGGGGAUAUAAAUAUUUGCACUAGAAGAUAGAUAUUUAUAGUGGUCACAAUAACUGAAUCUGUUGUGUACUACAAUAUUUUUAUUCAGAAGAAGACAUGAUUAUAUGUUUUUAUGUAGUUUUA